rnacentral:rRNA from 1 species
UACGGAGGGUGCGAGCGUUGUCCGGAAUCACUGGGCGUAAAGGGCGCGUAGGUGACGCGGGCAGUCAACGGUGAAAGUUCGGGGCUCAACCCUGAAUCGGCCGUCGAUACUCCCGGGCUUGAGCACUGUAGAGGCAGAUGGAAUUCCGGGUGUAGCGGUGGAAUGCGUAGAGAUCCGGAAGAACACCAGUGGCGAAGGCGGCCCGCUGGGCAGUGGCUGACGCUGAGGCGCGACAGCGUGGGGAGCAAACAGG